GGAUUUGUGGUGCGAAUUUCGUUUACUACGUGAAGGAAAAAUCGAGUUGAUGUCUCCCUCCACUAGAGGAAAAACAGCAGGAAGCACUAUGCAUCGUUGAUCUUGACGUCGUCUAAAGGAGAAACUACUGGAUCAUCUGAGAUGGAGGGAGAGAAGUACGUGCAACUGGGGUGAAAGCAGCCGACUGCUGAUGGCAAAUAUGACCCCAAGGACCACGAUGGCAUGGACAUGGGACAUGGAUGGGUAGCUUCUGGAUGAAGAAGAAGACAAUGAUGUGCUACAGGAGGAGAUAAUCUUCCAUCAUCCUGAGCUGGGAAUCUCCCCACCAACAUUAACCCUCUAUACCAGUGUUUCCCAACCUGGGGGGCGCGACCCCGUUGGGGGGGGCACUAGAGAGUCCGGGGGGUGCGCGAAGCUUCAUCGUGAAACAGGUGCAUGGUAAGAUGCAAAACACAGUACUACAUCGUCACAAAGCUCCAAUCAGACUUCCAUCUGUCUUCUGUUCAUAGUCUGAACUGCCUUUGAUGGACUAAACUAGGGGAAGCAGUGCACUUAAUCAAUUUGCAAACAUAUCUCAGUAAUGGUGUUCAUUACUAUGAGCCAUCACCCACCCAUUUAACAUAAUAUGUUAAAUUAUAUUAUUAACAAUAGUCAGUCUUUACAGCGAAAUUCUUUGCCUCAUGAACAAUAUUGAUUGAAACCAAUCGUUUUAUUAAGUAUUGCUAUCCAAAAGUAGCAAGGAUGUCUGGGAAAUAUUGUUGUCAAAGAUUCCAAAGCCCACCCACCUUACAUGGAUCGACUGUCUGUUUCCCAUCACCGUUGUUUAAAAGCAAAGCAUAGGCCUAAUAGCUAUGAAAACCUCAAAAUCCCACAAUCAUAACCAUAACCAUCAUUUUUAUCUGUAUCAGCCUCCCGCCACCAGACAGCAUCUGUUCGCAGAUUUGUGCGAGGAUGAGGCGCAUCAAACACUCCUCCUGCACACAGAUGUGCGCUGGCUUUCACGGGGCCGAGUGCUGAUGCGUUUUGUGGAAUUGGGUGAAAAAGUAGCUGAAUUUCUCAACUCACAGCCCAGCACUGUCAGAGAAAGUAACUGAAUCAUUCUGGAUUAAAACAGCAUACCUAGCCGAUAUCUUCAGUCUGUACAAUCAAUGAAACAAACAAGCGUCUCCAAGGCGCGGAGUCUAACAUCAUACCAUGUAAGGAGGGUAUAGGGUCGGGAAGGUGGAAAAGGGAGAGCUACAACAGUUCCCACUACUGCUGAAACAAUGCAGAAAUGAUCCUGAAACGAUCCCUGUAUCUGUCCGUCGUGAAUUUACCAGACACAUGAACGCAUUGCAAAAUGAGAUUAAAUCACGGUUUGCUGACACAGAUGAAUACGUAUCGAAAGAAUCGUGGGUGUUGGAUCCCUUUAUUGCAAAAGUCGAGGAUGUGCAAUACCUUGAUUGUGAAGAUGAGCUCACAUAUCCAGGCCAACACUCUGUCAAAGAAAUAUUUCCAGGUAGGCCUAUAAUAUUGCAUUCAAUAUUGUAUCACUGUUAGCAAUACGCCUCUGUGCUCGCACUAAUUGGAAUGUUGGACAUAAUUAAGCAUAAUUCAAUUCAUUCUUUCUUUAAUUCAUUCAAGGAACACGGAUUUAAAAAGUUUUGGAUCGUGAAGGCACCCAGCAUUGCUCCAAGGUUGGGAUCCACUGCUCUAUACCCCAAUAGAAU